GCCGGGAUAGCUCAGUUGGUAGAC
rnacentral:tRNA from 1 species